rnacentral:rRNA from 1 species
CCUACGGGAGGCAGCAGUGGGGAAUCUUGCGCAAUGGGCGAAAGCCUGACGCAGCCAUGCCGCGUGAAUGAUGAAGGUCUUAGGAUUGUAAAAUUCUUUCACCGAGGACGAUAAUGACGGUACUCGGAGAAGAAGCCCCGGCUAACUUCGUGCCAGCAGCCGCGGUAAUACGAAGGGGGCUAGCGUUGCUCGGAAUUACUGGGCGUAAAGGGAGCGUAGGCGGAUAGUUUAGUCAGAGGUGAAAGCCCAGGGCUCAACCUUGGAAUUGCCUUUGAUACUGGCUAUCUUGAGUACGGAAGAGGUAUGUGGAACUCCGAGUGUAGAGGUGAAAUUCGUAGAUAUUCGGAAGAACACCAGUGGCGAAGGCGACAUACUGGUCCGUUACUGACGCUGAGGCUCGAAAGCGUGGGGAGCAAACAGGAUUAGAUACCCUGGUAGUCCACGCUGUAAACGAUGAGUGCUAGUUGUCGGCAUGCAUGCAUGUCGGUGACGCAGCUACGCAUAAGACACUCCGCCGUCGGGAGGUACGGUCGCGAAGAAUUAAACUAACAAUAGAAGUUAGUACGGCGUGAGACGUGACCGACGGACGACGACGAGGGAGGAGG